UGGGGAAUUUUGGACAAUGGGGGCAACCCUGAUCCAGCGACGCCGCGUGAAGGACGAAGGUCUUCGGAUUGUAAACUUCUUUUAGAGGGGAUGAAUGCCUGCGUGAAUAACGCAGGGUGACAGUACUCUCUGAAUAAGCCACGGCUAACUACGUGCCAGCAGCCGCGGUAAUACGUAGGUGGCAAGCGUUACUCGGAAUCACUAGGCGUAAAGCGCAGGUAGGCGGUUUGGUAAGUCUCUUGUGAAAGCUCCCGGCUCAACUGGGAGAGGUCAAGGGAAACUACCGGACUAGAGUGUGGUAGGGGAUACUGGAAUUCCCGGUGUAGCGGUGAAAUGCGUAGAUAUCGGGAGGAAUACCUAUGGCGAAAGCAGGUAUCUGGGCCAUCACUGACGCUGAGCUGCGAAAGCUAGGGGAGCAAACAGG
rnacentral:rRNA from 1 species